rnacentral:rRNA from 1 species
GACGAACGCUGGCGGCGUGCUUAACACAUGCAAGUCGAACGGAAAGGCCCUGCUUUUGUGGUGUGCUCGAGUGGCGAACGGGUGAGUAACACGUGAGUAACCUGCCCUUGACUUUGGGAUAACUUCAGGAAACUGGGGCUAAUACCGGAUAGGAGCUCCUGCUGCAUGGUGGGGGUUGGAAAGUUUCGGCGGUUGGGGAUGGACUCGCGGCUUAUCAGCUUGUUGGUGGGGUAGUGGCUUACCAAGGCUUUGACGGGUAGCCGGCCUGAGAGGGUGACCGGCCACAUUGGGCCUGAGAGAGGGACCAGACGGCUACGGGAGGCAGCAGUGGGGAACAUUGCACAACGGGCGGAAGCCUGAUGCAGCGACGUCGCGUUCGGGAUGACGGCCUUCGGGUUGUAAACCGCUUUCGCCUGUGACGAAGCGUGAGUGACGGUAAUGGAUAAAGAAGCACCGGCUAACUACGUG